UACAAACUCGGCCUAUUUAUAGGACCGGAACUACUAAUAAUGCUCCUCUUCGUAGCACAACACGAACACCUUUCUCCCCUCCAAGGAGGUCAUGAAGCCAACUCUCCGGUGUUGGGUGCACUCAGUGACUACAUACUGGCAGCGAUGCUCGGAAUAAAAUCUUCUUACCUAGAAGAGGUCAAACACGAGUUGAAAUUUCCGUGUGGUGGUACCGACUUGAGCUGCCGGUAAUGGCGGGAAUGCCUGGCAACCUCCGGCCUCUGCGUGAUAAAAGUGGAACGAGAACCACUCUACUGGCAGUGAGACCUCCUAUAACGCUACUAGAGGCCAGAAGGCUAGCUUCCGUCCCGAGAAUGGCCCUUCCACUUCAGGCUCCCCACCGCUGUUUCCCUACGUCCAAACCAACCACAACUUGGAGGGGUCACCUAAGUACUUUGUUUCUUCCUAGGAUCCGGUAGACCACAAAACAAGACCACCGAUGUUUUUGUAAAAAUGCUCACGGGUCUCUUACAGUCAGGCCGACAACACCUCUCCAUGCGUUCCCGAAUGAAUACCUUAGAAUACUGGGUUCACCACAAAGGACUGCCGUGCCCUCUGUGUUGGAGGACCUACAAGAACCUGGGAGAAGCAUUGACCCUACAAUUCACCUCAACCCCCAGCCGCCGUGACCGGAAGAACAUGGCAGUCAACCUGCCUCGUACAUACUCCUCAUUCGGCUUUAGAACAGAACCACCAAAACAAACCCGGGAUGUCUAAACCUACACCCUCGCAUAGGGAUACCCGGUAUUGAACUGGUAACGAGGCCUUCUUGGAACCCUCACCGGAAAGCUGCCCCUACUCCUCGCCAUAGGGUGAUAGCGUAUGUGCACCCGAUUACAGGUUCACAGAUCAUAGCGUCGGUACCCCGCCAUGUUCCGUAUGUAUUCGUUCGAACUGUACGAAUGAAUUUUGGUGCAAUUAACCUCCGGCAUGUACCAUGAAUCCGUCAAGGGAAACUCGUUAUACACGAAAGCACUGGUUGUAGAAACCGCACACGCAACGGGGUACUAUACGAAAAUACGCCACCUCACCGUAGAAGGUGUAGCACAAAGCUUCGUUAAACCUCAUGUUGUUGCGUGGGGCGGCCUCAUACAACUCUGUUCACACCACGAUGUAUACUGCUCGGCCGUUGUGUUGUUCUUACAGUAAUUAACCCUCCUAGUGGUAGAAUACACCCACCUGUACACCUUACGAGUCUCCUUACGGGCUCAACUUCUACUAGUGUGUGGACUGUUGCUGCUCCCCCGUAUAAAUUCCGCAAACCUCACCGAAGCGUUUCUCAUGUCUCAAUAGGAAUUCCCACGAACCUGAGCACGGUUAACAAACCUUCAUUACGGUUCACUCCGACGACUACCACGUAAGUUGUUGAGAUAAUCCCUCUGGUAACCUCGCGUGGAUCUAAUACCGGGAGACGUACUGGCUCACCCGUGUCUCGAUACCUCUACAUAGUUACUAUCAUUACACCACGAACCGGCGGGUGGACCAUCUCUUUGCCUGCCAGAGCAAUCCUCAUGAGAUGUCUUCCAACACUUAGCAACGACUUGUGAUCGGCGAAAUGAGAGAACGGUACCUCCAAGUAGUUACCUACACGCACGUGCACGAGUCAUAUCUUACCUACAAGAAAGAAGGCGAGCAGGUAAAAGCUCGGUUCGUACAGGGGCACGAAGAAGGCGAGCAGGAAGAAGGUCGGCUCGUGCCUAACUACUUGUACUUCUACUUCUCCUCCUCUGUCUGAGACUACGCCUAGGCCUGAUACACCUCGAACCCCGAAGCGUCUACCUUCUACGAGGUGUCGGUUGAGUUGGAAGAGUCGGAAGAGUUCUUCGUGCGGCUCAAUCGAGUUCCUUGUAGGCUGCAGGACCUACCGUCUUGUGAGAUCUCCCGAUGCAGUUGUCCCCCUUCGACGCUUUUCUCCGUCCUUCACUUCACUACUGAUUACGCUCGAACAAUCAAGAUAUAGACCACUUGAUCUUUACAUCAAUGGAAAAGUCUACCUCGCUUGAGCAAUCAAGAUAUAGACUACCUGAACAAUAAAGAUACAGUGGUUCUGAACAAUUAAUAAUACAUUCGACCUAGUACAAUUCAAGCAACGAGAUUACAGAGUAACUAUAUAACAACGACAUGAACCC
rnacentral:rRNA from 1 species